rnacentral:lncRNA from 1 species
UCGCAUUGCAGCAACGCCCAGGCGUCGCACUCUAUCAACUGUAAGUAGCUAUUCUUUCCUGGUUGCAUUGCAUUUCAUGCUUAGAAAUAUACCAUUUCCAUUUCAACUUCUUAUUUAACUCAGUAUUGCAAGCAUUGGUUCACUUUUAAGUUUCAUUCAACAUUUAGGGUGUGUUAGACAAGUUACAAACAAACGUUAAACUUAAAAUCCUAAGGACGAGGUAUCUUUAUCUUUAUUAUAAACAUUUGCCUUGAUUUUUUUUUAAAAGUACACUUGGCAUCUUCAUAUUUCUCAUAUCAUUUAAUGUUUUCUUAUCAUCCAAUCAAAAUUGAUUAUGACACAUUUAUUUUAUAUCAACCAAUAAAAAAAUGAUUAUAACUCAUUUGUUUUUCAUGAGCCAAUCAAAAUGGAUCAUGACUCAAUUGUAAAUUAAUACAUGGUUUUUUCCUUAUAAAUAGACAAUUUGUUUUUCAUCAUUUUCAUCUUUCUCACAUAGAAAAUGUAUUGUGUAUUUUUAUUUCUUCCAUAAAAAAUGUAUUGUGUAUUUUUAUUUUCAUGGUAAUAGAUUAUGGGUUGAUUUUCUUUUUUUAUUUGUAUCUUAGUUUCCAUUGGAGAACAUAUGCCUCCAAAUUCUGAAAAUUUGUUCAGUUUCUCAUAUAAAUACACUGUAAAUUGUACAUCUCCAUGUAUGUUGUCCAAAUAUGCAAGUUCAUCAUAUGAAACUCAAGUUCUAACAAAUUAUCACAUUGAUCUAAUUAUGUAACUUGAAGAAGGUUUAUGUACCAAGAGAAAAAUUAAGCAUGUUUAUUUGAUAAGUCUAUUGCUGACGUUUUUUUCGUUUAAACUGACCAAUUUUAUAUUCUAUUGUAGUUUUUUAUUUUGGAUUUUUGCUCAUUCCUCAUUGCAUAUUUUUUUUUAUGAUUUUGCGAUGUUUGUGAGUUUGGUUCCCGUUUUCACUCAUUUUAUGAAAAAUUUUACUUUUUGUGCUGUUGUUUUUUAUAUAUAUAAUUAUUGAAGAUUAUAUUUUUUUUAUGGAUUUCUUUAUGAAUUUUGAGUUUUUUUAAUACAUUUUAUUGUGUCGUUCAUGUAUUCGUUAACCUGGAUAUGAAAAUAUGAUUUAUUUUGUUAUGAAAUAUUCUUAGGAUUAUUAUUUUGUAGCUUAGUAAUAACGUGCAAUGAAAUUUUUAUUUUUACAGGAUUCACAAGGAUUAAUAAUUAUACUAUUGAACAUUAUUUUAUUUAUGAAUCUCUAUAUCACAUGAACUUUUUUUUUUUUUUCUUUUUUUCCAACAAAGGUAUGUCAAAUUCUAUAUAUGGGAUCAAGUUAUUAACAUAAAUUACAAAACUCUUAUACAUUUGGUAACACGAUAAAUGUGAUUGAUAACAUAUAAUUAAAAACAUUCCAAUUAAAAAAAAAAACAUAUAAUUAUAAACAUUAAUUGUCACUUAUAAGUGUAUUUCUCCCCAAUGUCAUAAGUUCGAUUCUCUCCGAUGUUAAUUUAGAUGGACUAAUUUAGCGUCUUAAAAAAAAUCAUCUCUAUCUCUAUCUCUAUCUCUAUUAUAAACAUUUGCCUUAAUUUUUUUAAAAAGUACACAUGCCAUCUUCAAAUUUCUCAUCUCAUUUAAUGUUUUUUUAUCAACCAAUCAAUAUGGAUCAUGACUCAUUUAUUUUUUAUUAGUCAAUCAAAAUGGAUCAUGACUCAUUUAUUUUUCAUUAGCCAAUCAAAAUUGAUCAUGACAUGAUUUUUUUUCUUAUAUAUAGACAAAUUGUUUUUCAUCUACCUCUUCCUCUCAAUAAAAAACCACUUUCAACCACAUUAUCUUUUCUUUUAUUUGUUUAUUUCCUUUUUUUUUAUUGUUUUAGUGUUUGAUUAACAUUUCUUAUUCUUAUGUUACUUUUUUUUGUGAUUUGUGUGUGUUAAGAAUAUUGUGAUUUCUUAUUCAAAAUUGGUGUUUAUAUGUUCUUUGGGUGUGUUUGUUUCAAGUUAUAAUUGUUGAUUCCCAGGAAUAAAAUGAUAGAAAUGUAUAUGCCUAUGUUUGUUACAAAUUUACUAAAAUUUAUUCCUUGGUAUAAAAUGUUCCUGGGAAUAGAAAAAAAAAUCAAGAAAAAGGGUGGGAAUAAAGUUCCCAUGGAGAUGGGAAUAAAUUCAUAAAUAGUUUACCUAUUAUAAUCCCUAUUUUUAUGGUUCCUAAGAAUAUUAUAAAGCUAACCAAACAUAUUUUUCCUAAAUUCCUUGGAAUAAAAUUCUCAUCUUUAUAUUCCAAGGAAUGUUAUUCCUAGGAAUAAAUUUGGUAAACUUGAAACAAACACGUUGUUUUUUACCGAAUUUUUAUUUUGGACUUGUAAGCCAAUCAAGAGAAAAGAAGAAAUGCAUCACAUAUCAAUUAGAAUAUAUAUGAAGUAUUUAUUUUUUAUGUAGUAUUUGUUUUUGGAAAUGAUGUUUAUUAAUUUUAUUGAUUAUUGAUAUUUUGUUGCUAUAGAGAGCUAUGAUCAAGGUCAUGUAUAAGAUAAAGUUUUUGCCUUUUUCCAAACAUCAUGCAUUGAACUUGAGGAAUCCAUGUUUCGUCUAUUAAUAUACAUAUGCUUGAACAUAGUACCUAAAAAACUAAGCAAGUAACAAAUAUACAACCUUCAUUUUUUUUUUGGAUAACUGAGGAGAUGGGAGGUCAAAUCGAAAACUCACUAACUCAUGGAGAUGGGAGCAUAUGAGAGAAAGAGAAAAUAUCACUGGGAGACCAAAACUUAGACUUGACUGCAUUGUCAUCACGUGACCACCUUAACUAACUUAAUCAAUAUCAUCAUUGUAUUAAAAUCAAUCAAUGACUAAAAUUUGGCAUCAAAUUAACUUAGAUAUUUUAAUGUCAUUUAAUUCUAACCCGUUUUUAUAUAUUGAUUGAGGGUAUUUAUGUGAUAAAAAAAAAUGUCACUAUUCCCUACUUCAAAACAAAAAAUGCCACUAUUCCCUAAAAAAUAAUCAUGCCACUAUGCGCAUGUUUAUAAGUACUUUAUUGAUUGCUCGAAAGAAAAAAAAAAGUACUUUAUUGAUUAUUUUUUAUUUUUCAAUAUACACCGUGUUUUAGUUUUUUCAUUAUUGUUUGGACCAUUGUUUUCUAAAUUUGUAUUUCCAAUAAAUUAUUUAUUUCUAUAAAAAAAAAAUCAUAUAAGUUAAUUAUUACUAAUAUUAAUUGCAAUAAUGUAUCUAUAAAAAAAACUAAUUUGAUUUUUUGUUUGCAUGGCUAGGAAAUAAAAAAAAUAAAUGACUACAAUCUCAAGAAGGUUCAUGUUGCAUUAGCAACAAGCAUAUCCCAAAGGCCUGGCGAAAGAAAAGCGUGAACAAAAUGGUGAAUAUCAAAAGAAGUGCAAAACAUGAAUCAAUAGCUAAUGUGAUUUUCCUUCAAAAAAAGCUAAUGUGAUUUAGCAAGAUUUAAAAUUUUCAUUUUUAAUUACUUCCUUUUUUUUAUUAUUACUUACUCAUAUUAAUUUAGUUAUUUUUAUGAACAUUCAAAAUCUAAUCGAGAAAGAGAAAAUUUUCACGUGCCAAAGCAAUUGUCCUUUUUUACGAUGCAAAUUUUAUAAUUUUUUUGCCGAUCAUUUCUAUACAUGUUAACAAUUCAAUUAAUAAUCUUAAACAAAAUUAAAAAAAAAGGUAUCUACUUUGAAUCUCUAUAAUAAACAAAAGGCAUGCACAGCAAAAAUAAAUCAAAGUAGGGGAAUAAUUACGGAUUUAAAUUGUAUUACAAAAAAACUGAUUAUGAUUUUAUUAUACAGUUUCAACUCUAUUUUAUUAUUACUCAAUAAUAACUUAAUCGUUGUAUUUUUUUCAUGAUUUUUUUAAUCUGUGAAAAUAAUAUCCUAAGUAAAUAGAAAAUCAUUUUACAUAUUAAACCAAACCCAACAAAAAAAAUUAUUAGUUUUUCAACUAAAUAUUAAUAAAAUAAUUUCCCAAAAAUUUGUUUUAAUUUUUGGAAAAAUAAAUCAAGGUAGGCAAGUUUUCGAAUCAGACUUAUUAGGCCAUAUUUUGUUAAAAAAUUGAACAUGAAAGAAUUUUGGUUAAGAAAUGUCCAUUUAAUCAUAUACUAUCACUGUAGGAAUUUUGUUUUGAAUGAAAAUUAUAUGCAUUGAUUUUAGUUGAUUACAUAAUAUACAUGGUCAAAGAUAAUUCAUAACACAUUUACCUUCAAUUCCUUAAUGGUGAUCAUCAUUUACCUUCAAUUCCUUUUUCCUCUAAAAAAUAAUUCGGUCAAUUCCGGUCAAUUCCUCUAAAAUUUCAGAUGUAUUUUUUCACGUGAUUUGAAAAAUUAAGGUUUUUUCUCUCUAUAAAAUAAAAAAUAAAAAAUAUUGAUAGCAUCUAAACUAGGCACAAGAUAUGCAAAUAAGAGAUAAAAAACAAAUAUAACAUGAGCCAACAUUUUUUUAUUUUGAAGGAUAACAUGUACCAACAUGGCAGCUAUAAUUUAAUAAGGGAGCAAAAAUUAGUGGAAUGAAUGUCUAUAUUCCACGUAGAAAACAUCAUUCAAAGCAAAACAUUUUUGUUUUUCUCUAUAAGGAAUGAUUUGGUGGUGCAUAAAAAGCAUUGAUUAAGUUCAUAUUAUUUCUUUCCAUAAAAAAGUUCAUAGUAUUUGUAGAAGCAAGAAACUAAAAAACAAGGGUGACAAGAAGGGUCAAAGAAAAAUGUUUUUUUUUUUUUAAUUUAUAUAUAAGUAAUGAUUGAAUUAAUGGUGCAUAAAAAAAUCUAAGAAAUCAAUUCAUUGUAAAGUUCAGAGUUCUGUUGGAGUAUACAAUGGGUUGGAUCAUCUCAUUUGGCUAAGAUAAUCCUCACACAAAUGAUAUAACACCAUAUUUUGACCCAAAACCUUUAGACAUUAGGUACAUGAUCCAACGUAGAUGUUUAACUCACACAUGACACAUUAACUUCUCCCUUUUCAGUUUGAGAUUCUUUGUAUUUGUGACUUGGUGAGAUAACCUAAUAAGUUCAGAGGCACAACAUCGUAAAAAAGAUGGGUUGGUAGCGGUUUCAAAGAGAGAUGUUUUUUUAUUUCUUUUAUGAGAAGAGAGAAAGUAAAUUAGAAAAAAAUAAGAUGAAAAAGGAAUUAGAACAUAGAGAAAUAAUAAGGGAAAAUAAUAACUUGCGGUUAGUUUUAUGACUUUUUUGACAGAGUUGGAGAUUACUGGGUAACUAUACUACCAAAAUAUUACACUAUUAAAAAAAUUCCAAGUGUGCGGCUACAAAUACUUUUUUAAUAGUCAAAUAAGGUUCUCUAAGUGUGCGGCUCUCUAUGUCCGUAAUUAUAUACCAUAGUCAAAUAAGGUCAAACGGAGGUACAAUAGAUAAAAAAAGCUAGGUUGGUGGUGAUUUAAUGAAGAGAUAUUUAUGUUCAAUUCUUUCAUGGGAAAGGAAAAAGAAAGAUGAUGCAAAACAAAUUUGAGAUUGAUAUAAAUGACACGGUAAAAAAAAAAGUGUGUUUUAUCCCUGAGGUUAUAAAGAAUAAAGUGAGUCAUGUGAGUUCGAGAUUUUUGAGUAAUUAACUUCCCAAAAAUUAGACUUAAUUAAUAAAACAAAAUAACAUUUAAGAAAUUCUAAUAAUUAGGCACAUAAUUUGUUAAUUCAGCAUAAUAAUUAGAGUUUUUCUAUGGUUAAAUCCCACCAAAGACACAAAGUGAAGAAAUUUAAAAUAAUAGAGAUUAAUAAAAAAAAUUGCAUAAAAAUGAACAACCAAAAAUUUAAAUUUAAUUUAAAAAUUAAAUAUAUAUACUCUUACAUUGGUCAUCUCAUUUGUAUGUGUCUCAACAUCUACUAUUGUAUCUAAUGUGGAACUUUAAAUGACAACUGACAUUUUAACAUAUCUUCCUUAAGAGUGAGACUGUCUGCAUCUCCGAUGUGACAUAACCAAAUAAGGUCAGAAGGAGGCAUGACAUGGUUAAACAAGUGAAUUGAUUGUGAUUUCAUGGAGUGAGGUUUAUAAUUAUAACUUUCACGAAAAGAUAGAAAUGAAAUUAGAAAAAGAAAGAAUAUGAAAAAAGUAAUUUGAAAAUGAGAGAAAUGAUAGGAAAAAAGUAGCGAGUGUUUCAUCCGUGGAAGUAUUGAAAAUAGAUCGAGUUAUUGGUAAUUUUAUGGUUUAGUUGUAGCAGUUGGAGAUUUACGAGUGAUUAUUCUGCCCAAAAAUAAAUAAACUCAAUAAGAAAGUGACUGUAUUUUAAAUAAUAGAGGUUGGAUAAAAGCAAUUGCAUACAAAGUGAAUGACUUCCAAAAACAUAUAUUUAAUAUAAAAAAAUUAAGCAAACGAAAUUCAAAAUCCAACAAAACAAUUCGUCACGAUGUUCAGAGUUCUUAGAGUGCCUUCAAUGGAAUCAUCACAUUUGACCAAACACGUGAAAUUCACACCACAUCUAAACUCAAAACCUUAAGAUUUUGCAUAUAUUAGUUAUCUCACUUAUAUGUAGAUCAAUAUCUACUCUUACAAAUAAUGUAGAAGUUAAAUCAAACAUGACACAUUAACGUCUUUUCCUCAAGUGUGAGACUUUGUAUUUCUAAUAUGAUAAGAUAAUCAAAUAAGCUCAAAGGCACAACAAGGUAAAAAAAUAUGAUUGGUGGCGGUUUCAUAGAGGGGUGUCUUUUUUCCCUUUUUUUUAAUAGAAAAGAGAAAGUAAUUAGAAAAAGAAAUAAGAUGAAAAAAGAAUAUGUGCAUGAGAUAAACGACAAGGGAAAAAAUAAGGAGUGUGUGCUUUAUUUGUGAGAGUAGAGGGAAUAAAAUGAUUUGUUGGUAAUUAAUUUUAUGAGUUUGUUGAAGGAGUUGGAAAUUAUUGGGUAAUUAAGCUACCAAAAUAAUAUAUUCAUUAAAAAAAUGUCACAUUAAUUAAAAAUGUAUAAUAAGCAUGUAUUUUAUUAACGUAGCAGAACACGUCUACGUUUCUUGAUUGUCAAAUCGCACCAAAGACCAGAAGUGAAGGAAUUUAAUACAAUAGUGGUUGAAUAAAAAAUUGCUUGAAAGUGAAUGACAUCCCAAAACUAAAAUUUAAGAUAAAAAUUAAACAAAUGACACCAAAAAACUAACAAAACAAAUCAUCAUAAUGUUAAGACUUUCGUGGGAACCUUUAUUCGGUUGUAUCUUAAUAUUAGGUCAAAAGCACGCACACAAGUAAGAUUGACAUCACAACUUCACCCAAAAUCUUAACACAUUAGAUAUACGAGUCAUCUCACUUGUAUGUUACUCAACAUCUACUAUUGCAUUCAAUGUGUUAUUUUAACUCACAUUUGAUACAUUAACAUCUCUCCAUUAAGUACGAGACUCUCCGUGUAGAGCAAUCGCACAAGUGAAAAUGAUGUUACAUCUUCAUCCAAAAUUAAGACUUAAAUAUAUAAUUUAUUUUUCAUUUAUAUGUUCUUCAACCUCCAAUAUUUUAUCCAAUGUUGAGAUUUAACUGAACACUUGAUACAUUACAAUAUUCUCUCCAUUGAGGAUGACGAAAUUCUAGCCCGUGCUUGGCACAGGUGUCUAUACUAGUUUGGUCUUAUUUUUACUAACUUAAUUCAAGUAGCUUAUAACUUAUAUUUUUUUAUCUCAAUUUUACCCUUGUAACAUUAAUUGUAUAAAAUAAAAUUAUUAAUUAAAUAUAUAUUUUUUAUUGCAUUUCAUACUGUUAAGUUAGUUCAACCUCUAAUUUUAUCAACACUGUUAAUAUCAACUUAUUAGUCUCACGGUUAAUCAAAAGGGAGUAUCUGGUUUGAUCAAAAGUUUGCCGAAAAUUCAGAGGCUGGCUAUAAGAUCAUACUACAGCAAGGUUAGGAAACAACAUCACUAAUAUCAACUUAUUUGUUAUUGUUCUGUUGGAUAAUAUUCUAUUUCUGACCCAUAUGUUUGUUUGGUACAUCUGAUCUUUAAAAUUGUUGAGCAUAAUAGUUUGUUGACACUUGCACUUGUUUUCUCUAGUUACACUAUUAUGCAUUGCGUGAAUUUUUUACAAGCUUUGUUUCUAAAAUCAUACCCGAGUCCGAUAACAGUAUAAUAUAUUGUAAUGUUACUUUUGAUGUUCCAAAUCCAAUCUCAAUUUGGUUGUUUUUAAAACUACUUUUAUCUUGCAUGAUCUCACAGUUUUAUCUCUUAAAUUUAUCUUUUACUGUAUAUUUGAAGAAGAAGCAAUGUUGUACUUUUUUUUAUGGUUCAAUCCAAUUUUCCAGUAUUUACAUUGAAUGUUGUGUUAGUUGUACUUAUAAGUGCUGUACAAAUAUGCCUCAUAGGUCUAUGCAGAUAUCAUUCAUCCAUCAUAGUUGAUAAGCGUAAAGUAUCUGAAAUUAAAAGCCUUGAAUAUGGAUGACAGAGGAGAAGUUUUGGAUAUUGUUAGUGUACUCAAAAGUGCUUCUAACCUGGUGGAACUUGAUAUACAGGUGACAAUAAAUACCUUAUUCUUUCUUAACUUUUUUUUUUUCUUCAUACUUUUGACUCUUAUUUUUUAUAUGAGAAAUGAUAUUUGAAUAACCAUUUUUGAUAAUUUUUGUAACAACUUUCUCUCUCACACUCACAUUAUGUUUUUACUUUCUCUCUCUAUUGCUUUGAUUUUUGUGCCAAUACAUCAUUUUCUUUGUAAAAUUUUCACAAAAAUUGUCAUCUAAAUGGAUAUUCAAAUAACACAACUCUUUUUAUAUUUUAGAGUAUUAACUAUGCUUGUGUUGAAGAGCCGAACCAAUCGGAGGAGUUAGAAUGCAAUUAGGGGUGGGCAUGGUUCGGUUAACCCAAAAAAUCGAACCGAACCGAAAUUUUGAAAUGGUUCGGGAAAACCGAACCGAACCGUUUCAGGUAUGGAGCUAACCGAACUGAACCAAAGUUAUGGUUCGGUUAACCGUUUUCUUACAUAUGAACCGAAUCGAACCAAAACCAAUAUUUUGAACCGAAAUGUAUUUUUUUUUUAUCCUUUUGUGAAUUUAAUUGUGUUUUUUUAUCCAAAAGGCAAAAUAUUUUUUAUUUACUUUUUUUUAAGAAUAUAAUUUUUUUUAUUAAUAUUAUUAUUACACAAACACACAGUAAAAUAAUAAGUUUAAUGUAAAAUAUAUUAAGAAAUAAAAAUUAUAGUAUGAAAAUUAUUAUCAAUUAUUUUUUGAAAGAUAUAAAGUAAUAAUAAUAUAGAUUAAAUUAAUGUAAUAUAUAAGAUUAAACACGGUAAAAAAAUAUGUAUUAAUAUCUACUUUCGCGGUUAGUUUGCUUCAGAUUUAUUUUAAAAAAUAGCUUAUUCAAAACAGCUUAUUUUAUGGAAAUACCUUAUUUUAAAAAAUCAGCUUAUUCAAAACAGCUUAUUUGAUAAACAACUUAUUUUCUAAAAAACAACUUAUUUUCAAAACAACUUAUUGAAAGCAGCUUAUUUUAUGCAAAAUACCUUAUUUUAAAAAACAAGUUAUUUUAUGAAAAACAACUUAUUUUUUAAAACAGCUUAUUCAAAACAGCUUCUUUUAUGAAAAACAGCUUAUUCAAAAAAGCUUAUUUUAUUAAAAAUAGCUUGUUACGAUCUCUUUUUAAAAACAACUUAAUCAAAACAACUUAUUUUAUGCAAAACAGCUUAUUUUAUGCAAAACAACUUAUUUUAAAAAAUUGCUUAUUUAAACUUGCUUAUUUUAUGCAAAACACCUUAUUUUAAAAAACAGCUUAUUCAAAAAGCUUAUUUUAUGAAACAACUUAUUUUAAAACAGCUUAUUCACAACAACUUAUUUUAUUUAAAACAACUUAUUUUAUUCAAAACAUGUUUUGAAUAAGUUGUUUUUUGAAAAUAAGCUGUUUUGAAUAAGCUGUUUUUCAUAAAAUAAGUUGUUUUUUUAAAAAUAAGUUGUUUUUCAAAUAAGCUAUUUUGCAUAAAAUUAGUUUUUUUUUUAAAUAAAUUGUUUUCAUAAAAUAAGCUGUUUUGAAUAAGUUGUUUUUUUAAAAUAAGGUGUUUUGCAUAAAAUAAGUUGUUUUGAAUAAGUUUUUAUUUUUGUUUAAAAUAAGCUGUUUUUCUAAUAAGUUGUUUUUUUUAAAGUAAGUUGUUUUCAUAAAAUAAGCUGUUUUUAAAAUAAGGUGUUUUGCAUAAAAAAGUUUUUUAAAAUAAGCUAUUUAAAUAAGUUUUUUUGGAAAGAUCCAACAAAGAGUUCAAGUGGUUUCCUUAAAAAAAAAAAAAAAAAUCAGUUCAAGUGGUUUGGUUCGGUUCGGUUCAAAAUGGUUCGGUUAUGGUUUAAGAACUGUUAAUAAAUUAACGGUUCGGUUCGUGAACCAUUAUAAUGGUUCGGUUAUUUUUGGUUCGGUUUGGUUCGCGCGGUUCGGUUCAUGGUUAUUUUUGCCCACCCCUAAAUGCAAUAGUUGUUGUCUUAGUUAACUUCAGACUGUGCAUAUCAGAGUUGGAGGCAGGUUUAAACAUGCAAUGAGUUUGAUACGGUUCAUACUUGGAAAUUCCUCAUCGUUAAAACUCUUACUUUUAAAGUUGGUUUUGGUCAUAAGAAUUUUGAUGCAGCAAUUCUGUUAAACAUUUCACAAGACUUGUUAAGGAUGGAAAGAGCAUCACAAAGAGGAAGAGCACAAGUUGAAUUCCUUCACCCAAAGAUAGACGUUCAAUUGUGAAAUGUUUUUGAUUUUGGCUUUCAAUAUGACAAUUCCCAACCAUUAUAAAUACAUGUUCUAAGCAUGUUUUUGGGACCUUUUCACAGUUUUUCAAACAAAACCCAGUUUGCACAAACAUUUGGGAAAGGUCAUUUGCAUCCAAUGAUUAAAGUCCUAAGGUUUGGAGAGAGUACUUGAAGCUCCUAUGGAGUCACCUACUUCCUUUCCUUCUUAUCUUGUGUCUAUCUUUUGCAAUUAGGAUUUUUAGGCUAGGUUACAUAUGAUCUCUCUUGUUCCCGAGACAAUUUGAAUAUUUUGUAGAUUGAUACUUUGUUUUAAUAUGACUCAUGCACUUAAUUCUAUGCUUAAUGUUUUUCAUGGACUAAUACUAUAAAGUACUAGUGAUUUAGAAUUGGAAUGACAAGGUUGGUCCUUGACACCGACAAGGUGUGGUUUAAGUUACAAGAAGUUGAUUGUUUUAUAUAUUAUUGUAACAAUGUGUGUGAUUGCAUGCAAGUUUAUUGGUUGCCAUGAACUACAAAGAUGGCCUUGUAUUUUUUGAUGUACGUACUGUUAAUCAUUAUAAAAGAAAAUACUGUGUUCUUCUAUGUUAUCUUUUGGAUACAAACUCAAGAACAUUUUUCCGUAUGACAUAUCGGUUCUGUUUAUUCACUCUUUAUUUUGUCCAUUUAUUUCAAGUUUCAGUUCAACUAUUGAUGUCAUUUAAGGAUACAUUAAUGUUAAAGAAUCAAUUAAGUACAUUGCAAUGACUGUUCGAUCAUUUGGUUAGGUAACCGAAAUUGGUUGAAUCGUUAGAUAAGUGGAGCAAAAAAUGUGAGGAUCAUUUGCCAAAGUUAGGAGAUGUGUUAGAGACAUUGUAUGAGGGUAACAGUGCGGAAAAAAAAAAAAAAUUGUUCUUUGCUUAAUCUCAAAAUCACGUUAUCAUUAGAAUCAACUUUUUAUGCAACAGAAACAGUGCAUUCCUUAUGAGCAGACUUCUUGAAUAUAAACCUUGGAGGAAAACCAUGCUUGAAGUAGCAUGUGUCAACUGUCAAGAUCACGGUUGGUGCCAUUACAAUGUGUUCAUGUUUAAAAGACCCUUAGCUUGUCUCGCAAGAAACGACUUGAAAUUGGGCUUGACGUGACAUGAAAGUCUUGCUUGCCUUGUUUUUUGUUUUGUUUUGGAUUACCAUGUUAUAGGUACGGAGUUUCCAUCACCGUUUAAUGAUGACUAAUCUCCGUCGGAAAAUAACCCUUGCUGUAUAAAUAGCAAGAGUGGUGAGUUCAUAUAUGAUACGAUCACAUAUUCAAUUGAUGUUCUUGUUGAAUUUGUCAAACUCCUAAAAGCUUAUGAAUGAAACUGUGUUAUCCUUCUAAAGACAUUUUUCCCAUAUAAAUACAAUUUAAUACAAGCCGGUGAGACUGAUUCUCUGUUCAGUAAAAUUGUCAUAUAUACAUUGAUUCUGCAGUUUACUAGCUAAAUUAAUAACAGUUACAACUAUUCCAGUUUAAAAAAUACUACUAGUUACAGUUACAAAUGCAGUUUUUUAGAGGACUAGUUACAAUUUACAAAUGCUUAGUAUUUGCUUUUGCCAUUAAAAGAUCAAAUAAGUUGAUAGAAUUAUCAUGAAUACACUUCAUUUAAUGAAGGCAGGUGAUCCAUUGGCAGUAUUUUGGGAUCUCAACUGCUAUUAAGGCCUUGAAGGAAGCAAACCACACUAUCACUAUCUUUGUAUCGUUCAUUCUUUAAAAAGAUUGUGCAGCAGAUACUAAUCAGUUGGCUCGAGAUGGUUCCAUUGAUGAAGUCACACUUGUUCUUCAUUUCAAAAGCCAUUGUAAUUGUUCUAGCUCAGCUAUGGAUCCAUUGGAGAAACAACCAUUAAUCUGUAUUUUUUGUUUCGAUGAACAUCAUUAGGAUUGGUGGGAUGUUGAGAAGAAUUGUAUUUUGUAGCAUGGUAGACUUAGGUAAGAAAUGGGAGAAAAUCAUUAUUCUACUGAUAUGAUUAUUGGAAGAGAUUGUGAAGAGAAAAUGAAACUCAACUUCGCGUUAUAUUAGAGGAAUUUUUUUGAGAUACGCUAACAACACACUCUUUUUAACACACUCUCUGAUGAAUAUCAACUUAGCCUUCUUUUCAAGUAAACACUAAUUAUAACACUGAUUGUUUUUAUGUAUUUGUUGGCCAUAAUAUUAAAAGACAAAUAAUUAAUAAACCAACAAAUAUGUAAGGGGGAAAAUUUGUACAGAACAAUCCAUCAAUAAUUAAGCAAACUUCACUUUAUGUGCACAAGAAAUAAACUUCAGUUUAAGCAAUAAAAACAUUAUCUCCUUUUCUCUGUUAUUUUUUCUGGUAACAAAACCACAUUCACAGACCUAAUUAAUCUGGUAAACCAUAUAUAUACAGGAUAUUCCUAGUACAUAAGCUCCUACCAUAGACUUCUAUAAUUAGGACAUACCAAUAUCACAAACUUACAUGUGUAUAAUGAAAUAUUGACAUUGUCACAUUCUUUAUAAUUUACCUAUUCACCUGGACAACUUCAACCACCUAGUCACAUAAUCUUUUAAGCUAAAUCCCUUGCUAGGCCUUAGAAUUUGCUUGAACAAAGCCAUUUUUGGAACAUUCCAAUGCUCCACAUGCCUGAAAGUUUUCAGCAAUUUAGAUGAUUUUGAAAAAUGAUAACACUAGUUAACUGUGCAUGAAUCAUCACAAUGAACAUUUUUCUCACCUGUAUACUUUUCCUGAUUGUGUAUCAAAAUAAUAUUCUGUGUACCCAGUUGCUGCAGCAUAUAUUAACAUGGUCAAACUGUGUACAAUAAAUAUAAUAUAAGCUGCUUUUUGUUGCUGCUAAAUAAGCAUUUUGUGAUUGCCACAUAUUCUAUUAAAAACCCAAUUCAUGUUAAUUUGAACAUGCAAAUAACAGUAUAAAAACGAAAAAUAAAUCCAAGAGAGGUUUCAGUCAAAUGCAGAUAAAUACAAUACACAAAAAUAUGUAUAGUACAGAAAUUUAGUUUUGUUCUUUAAUGGCUCAAUCUAUUAGAUAUACAUGGAUAUGCUUGAGAUUUACCAGAAAGAAUAGGUCUCCAAGGAAAGGACAAGAUACAGCUGAAUCGCCAGUGACCAAUUCCUUUAUCCUGUCAUGGAGCAAAUGUAUGAAAAUACACUAUAAGCUUUUCAAAGAAACAACCAACACUCAAUAAAAAGAUUGAUAUUUUUUUUUAUAUAAAAAACACGAGUUUCUAGAAUAUGUUUAGCAGGAGAUUAAACUCUAUUCCUUUAGGUUACACGGCUAAGCAGUUAAGGCUGCUUAGGCAUUUGUAAAAAUAUCACAGCUGCAAUUGCAGCCGCAUCAGAAACCUUUAUCAUCAGUUGCAUGUAAUAUCAAGAGCUGCAAGGUAAUCUCAACUUUAACCGCAACUACAAUUUAAAACCUAAGUUGCAAAACUCUAUAUAUGAGAAAGCAGUAGAAAAGUGUUCAACGUUAUCUUCACCUCAAAAUCUUCCCACUUCAUAAGAUUCAUAGUUGACUUCUCCAGAAGUGAUCCAAAAUUAGUGCAGUUCCUUUUGAAACGCUGAAGUCCUUUAAAAGAUCCUGCUGGAUCCGCAAAUUCACAAUCCUCUUCAUAUGCAUUCAAUGUGAGAUCUCCUGAGAGUUGGGAGGAAUAGAUCAGCCAUGUGAACCAUCUGAUUAUAAUCAAAAUACUAACUAGAAAAUGCCAAUUGUAUUAGCUUCAUUUUGUAUCAGUCAUUAUAUAGGAAGCAAUGAUUUGUUGAUUAUCAUGUAUAAAAUAACAUACUACUGAGAGUACACUUCAGCAAUGCCUCUUUUUGUUCUCAGCAUUACCAAUCCCUAAAACAUUAUUGAGUAGUACUCGAGUUUACUCUUGUUAGAAUAGAACAGCAACCCGGUUCAAAAGUAAAAGAUACGGAAACAAUGCAAAUAGAAAACACAAUAUUUGAUCACGAAGUAGAGCUAAUUGCGCCUACGCCUCCGACUGCAAAGUGGGAUGCAGAUCAUGCAGUUCCUUUGUAUUACUAUUUAUGCACUUACGGUUUACAGUGUAUAACUUCAACUUAUUUAAACACUAUUGUCCAUAUUACAACAUUGCUCCUGAACCACACUGUUGGAGCAAAGUGUUAGAUACCGUUAGAGAUUUAUUAGAUAUUGUUAGAGUUUGUUAAAUGUAGUUAGAAGUUGGCUAGUAUUAGUUAGAAAUUAGUUCAAAUUUGUUAGUUUAAUUAGGAUCACUGUAUAAGUGUAUUUACACCUAUUUUAUUUUUAGAAACGGCUAAUUUAUUCACGACGAGUGUGUGCAAGGAGCAACACAAAAAACUCACGGGCAACAACAGAAAACAAAGGCAAUGCUAUACCAGCAACCCCACAACCUGAAAAACUCCGCAAAAAAGCUCUAAACAGCAGGAACCUCCUAGUCUAAAAACGUUAACAGCAAGCCCAAAAAGCAGACCAGCACCAGAAGAAAAAAAAAACAGCACUGCUAACAGCAAAAAAACGCAGCAUACCCCAGCCUCAACCAUUACAAUGCUAAGAUGCCACAAAAAACUGCAUCGUGAACGCAAAAGACACUCUUUUGGAUUCCAACUUCAUUCAUAAAACAAGCAAGCCGGCACUUGUAAACGACUCAAAGUCCACCUCCACGACAAAACCUUAAUCGCCUCCAAUAUCUCAGCAACAUCACAAUUAGAAUUAUUGAAAAUUCGAUCAUUUCUCACCCUCCAUAAACUCCAAACCGCGGCGUGCCAAAUCAACCGAAAACCUCUACGAAUCUUAUUAUUCCUCGCAGCACCAUUCCAACCCUCCCACAACAAGAACAGAUUAUGAGGUAACACCAAGGAAAAACCAAGCCAUCUCCACAAACCAUUCCACACCCCCGCGGGUGUAUUUACACCGAUUGUAAUCAACUUUUUCUCAUUCUUUCAUUUCAGCUCUAAAGUUCAUCUUUCUCUUAGUUUAUUUUAAUCAAUCUAACUUAACUAACUAGUGUAACUAAUUAUUGUAACUAACUUACAUUUAAUAUGAAGCCUCCAGCAACCCCCCAAUCAUAACCCAACAAAUGUUUGAGCCUGGCCGACCUGCCCACUUAUGAGUAACUACGAGUCAUACCUAACAACUCUGAAUAGUCAUGCCUUUCUACACAAAUCAAUCAUCCAAAUGGUGUGUAAAAAAGACAAAGUAGUUUACAAAUUACAACCAUACUUAAAAUUGAAUGAAAGAAAUUAGUAUUAAUCCACAUAAGAUAAGAAAAAUCAUGUAAUCAAACCUGUGACAAAAUAAGAUCUUUGGAAGUCUUGUUUGAUUGUGUCCACAACAGAAGCACGAUCAAUGGUUUGAAGAAGUCUCUGAGGAGGAGAAGCUUCUUCUUCAUCAGAUGGAGAACGGAAAGCAGAAGCAGCAAUGCCUAGAAGCUCAGAACUAUACCAUGCAACCUUAAGAAAUGCAUUGGUCUGUGGUUGUGACUCUUGAUUUUGGUUUGUUCCAUUGCAUUGAAUUUGAAACCUAUGGAUUUUUGUGUUAUUGCGAUGAUGUUGGUGUUUUGGUGCAAAGAACAAAGAACUGUGGUGAUGGUUGUGAGUAGUGUUGAUUGAUAUAGCAGAAAAUGCCAUGAAACUAAACAGAAGAAGAAAGGUUAGAAUGAUUUUGUUAGAAUCUAAGAACAAACAGUUGCCCCCUGCCUUGUAUUUAAAUAUCUAAGUUUCUAAUUAAUGAUAGCCACAUAAAUAAUAAACAGUGACAGCUCAAAAAAAAAAAGCAUUGUUUUAUAAAAUAAAAAAGGGCUACGCGCUUUGUUCUUCUGUCACAUACAACUCCAACUCCACUCACGACCCUUCUUCUUCCUCUCCCCAUCAUUACUUCUGUGCUUCUAUCUCCCUCUUGCCGGAGCUGCCUUUUCCGUUCAUACAGCGGCGGAGCCUUCCCCUUUAUUGAGAUCCGGUUCCUAAGCCAAGCAUUCUCAACGAAAUGUACGAGUUUGAGGCAAGUGAGUACUAUAUGAUAAUGACUAUCAUUUUGUAGUUACAGUAUUGCCUGUUUUACUAUACCAAACGUGGAUGGGGCAGGAAAUCCUCACCCGUAUAUAGAGCUCUGCCUAGAGUUCUUGAACGGACCGGAAAGAACAAAGCGCGUAGCCCUUUUUUAUUUUAUAAAACAAUGCUUUUUCCAACCCUUUUAAUCUUAGCCAUUGGUUUUCUAUUUUACCACAUGUCACACAUCCAUGAUGGUAAAUGGAGCACUCAAUGGAAACGUUCCCCUCAGUCUUUCUCCCUCACCGGAAACCACCACCGGCCAUACCAACCCUCUGCCGUCGUACGCCGUCUUCACCACCACCACUAGCCAUAACGGUUCAUAUCUGCAACACAACCUCCUCUUCUUUUCUUCCUCACCACCGGCGAACCAAACCCAGAUACGGCGAACGGAGAAACCAUAACUCACCACCGUCAUAUUAUUUCUCCGUCAAGCACAGUGUCGUCGUUAGGACGGCUGUUUGACGACGGCGAGAGAAGGGGAAUGUUGCAGAGAGCGAAAGGACUGAAAAAAGGUUUAUGAAACUACCAAAAUACCCUGCCACGUAGGAAGCGAAAACCAAAUUCUCAUGCAUCAACGAAUCAUCACAAGUACAUAGGAACUACCAAAAAAGGAAGUAGUUGAGUCUCUCUCUCUCUCUGAAAGCAACCAUGGCAAUUCUAAGAUCAAUGCUGAAAGCAACAAAAACCCUUCAUCGUUCAUCAUCUCUUCUCCGUAACAUGAGCAAUCUCCCAGAAAACACAGUAUACACAGGUCCAACAACACAAAACAAAAGAGUAACACUUUCACAACUACAACAAAAACAUAAAAACUCACAACCAAUCACAAUGGUCACUGCUUAUGAUUACCCUUCUGCUGUUCACCUCGAUAUGGCCGCCAUUGAUAUCUGUCUUGUUGGUGAUUCUGCUUCCAUGGUUGUUCAUGGUCAUGAUACUACUUUGCCUAUUACUUUAGAUGAAAUGCUUGUUCAUUGUCGUGCAGUUGCUCGUGGUGCUAAAACUCCUCUUCUUGUUGGUGAUUUGCCUUUUGGAACCUAUGAAUGUAGUUCUAAUCAGGUACUUUACUUUCUUAGGCUCUGUUUUCAUAAAUAACUUAUUUGCAUGUUUCAUUAUCAUAAGCACUUUAUGUAACCUAUUUCUAUAGGAAUUGAGUUGAUUGCGUUAAAUAUCUUAGUGGAUGAGUCAUCGUGUUUUAGAAUCAAAUGAAUGAAGAAUUUAGUUAUGCUAGAGUAGUCUAUAAGUAUAGCUUAUUCUCUCAAUGAAAGCACCAAUUGUUAUGAACAAUUAUAAAAACGUAUUGUAUAACUUAAAAUCUUACCUUAAGUCAUAAUUGAUGUUUGAUGAGUUUACAUGCAACACUGUGAUAUCUGAUUACUUAUUAAACUCAGAAUGUUCUGCUGGUUAAGAACUUGGAUUUGGGAAAAGAGAUUAUGGUGUGGAACUUACUGUGUAUAACUUGGUCUUAGUUAAUAGAAGUUCCUAGAUAUUUUGAGAAGGUUUUGGGAAAUCGCCUCUUAAAACAAAAUAAUCAAAAAGAACAUUUUGAUUAAAUUGAGGAAAACAUAUUUAAACAAGCAGUGUUUGAUCAUUAACUAACAAUCUGAGUAGAUUUAGGAGCAUGAUUCAUCGAAAUUUGAGGUUCAACAACCUGCAGUAAUCCAAUAGCCAACCUCCUAGUCAAAUCUUCAACUUAUAUUUUCACCGCAAAGCCAAACCACUUGUUACUAUAUUUAUAACAGUUGGUUGCUUCUUCAUUUAAACUGACUGAACCAAGUAAUAAUAGUAAGUUACAACCGUUAUCUAAUUACUCUAGAUCUUUCAGCACUAGCCCUCCAUUUUCUUAAUAAUUAAGCCUUACUAAAUAGUUUUAAUAGGUUUUGUUUCGAUUUAACAUCGUAUUUGUGUAACUGUUUUAACUUUCUUAGAAUGUGCAAUGGUUUUAAGUGCUGCUGUUUUGAUCAUAACCAGGCAGUGGACACGGCAGUUCGAAUUUUGAAAGAAGGACAAAUGGAUGCCAUAAAGUUGGAAGGAGGUUCACCUUCAAGAAUUGUUGCAGCAAAAGCUAUUGUUGAAGCUGGAAUAGCUGUGAUUGGGCAUGUUGGUCUUACUCCACAAGCCAUUAGUGUUUUAGGAGGAUUUAGGCCUCAGGGUAGGAAUGUUGCAAGUGCUGUCAAGGUCUAUAUCUCUAUUCUUUCAUGCAUGAUGCAAGUAUUUUUGCAUUUAAACAAUGUUUUGGUCAUUCUAAAAGGAAUGAGUUUGUGUAGGUUGUCGAGACAGCAUUGGCUUUGCAAGAAGCAGGGUGUUUUGCUGUUGUUCUUGAAUGUGUGCCUGCACCGGUGACUGCAGCAGCAACAGCGGCGCUUCAAAUUCCUACAAUUGGAAUUGGGGCUGGUCCCUAUUGCAGUGGACAGGUAAGUUGGCCUAAUAUUCAUGUAUGUUUGGAUUGACAGCAAAUUAGUCAUAAUCAUGAUGUCGCCGUGAUUUCGUGAAACUUACGGUGAUUUCAAAUACUGAGUAGCAUACAUUAGUUGCAAUUAUUUUGUUUAGCUAAUAAUAAUUGACCUUUGCUUUAUUUCAAUGCAUUUAUUCUUCUUCAAGUUGUUGUGUGUUUUCGCUUCCUGAUAAUUGUCUCUCUUAAAUAAUAUUUUCACUUUAAUACAAUAUAUGGAGAUGUUUUUAUCAAGUUCGAGAAUAUAUUAAGAUUGGUCUCGUGUCUCUUAUGGAUGGAGUUUUAAUUUUAUUAUCCCUCAUUUAUUUGGAAAUAAUUAAACAUAAGAUCAUUUACGAGCUUAUAAUUUUACAUUAACAAAGAGAAAAGGGAAUCUUUUUCUCAGUUCAAAGUAAGACAUUAAUUUCUCAUUUAUUUUUGAUUAAUCACGCAGGUGCUUGUUUACCAUGAUCUUCUUGGUAUGUUACAACACCCUCACCAUGCAAAGGUAUUUAGAUCAAAUGUUAACCUCAUUUUUCUUUCAAUUUUUAUAGGAUAUAAUAUAAUGAUACAGUGCUGAAGUUGAGGUGUGACCAUAUUUUUUGCAGGUGACUCCAAAAUUUUGUAAACAGUACGCUCGUGUUGGAGACGUCAUCAAUAAAGCCUUACUGGAAUAUAAGGAAGAUGUGAUGAAUGGUUCAUUUCCUGAUGCUCAACAUAGUCCAUACAAAAUCAGUGAAACUGAUGCUAAUGGUUUCUUAAAUGAGCUGCAAAAGUUAGGUUUUGACAAGGCUGCAUCUGCGGCAUCUGAAGCAGUUCAGAAGAUGGUUUCAAAAUCAACAAAGUAACAAUUUAGUAAAGCUAAGAAUCCUCCUGAGUUUUUCAUUUGAUGUUUUUCAUUGUCUUCAAUGCCAGAAUAAACCGAAUGACAUAAGUCAAGAGAAUUUGGGCAGAACAGAUAGAUAGAUUUAAGUUUUUUUCUUAAGGCAGACUGCUUCAUUGGUCAAAUUCAUGAAAUUUUAUUGAUAUGUUACAGAAACAAAUUUUGUCAUCCCACAUCAUAUAUGGAACCUAUAGAAAAGUUAAUGCGAUAUCAGUUAUCACGAAAGAAAAUUCUUUAUAGCAUUGUAUCAGAGAAAAAUGUUGAAAACUGAUUUUGAUAUGUUCCUUUUUAUUUAUUUAUGCACUUAUUGAUCUAAUCUAUCCUUCUAGUUUAUCAAAAAUAACAUGCUUCCACUGUAAAAUUAGUUUUCUUUGCAUACUUAUGUGUUAUUGCAGACAAUAUCAUGUUUAUUUUCUGAUUUGUUUUUUUAUUUAGCUUGUAUUAUGGAGCAACUCAGCAAAGUCCUGUAUCUUUUUGUAUUAUAGAGCACUUGCUGAGUUAUCAUUUCUCACUUUUCAGGAGCCCAAGAUUGCAUUUUCUUUUGCAUUGUCCAUUUUCUUUCCAAGGCUUCUUUUCACAGUACCAUAACUAAUUUAUUUUGUCACUAGACAUUUUAUUUGAUACUCCAUGAUAUUAUUAUUAGGAAGGUAAAAGUGAUGUAUAAAAACUGUAAAUGUAAUCAAGGAAAACUUCAUUUUAAAUCUGCAUGAACUUUUUUAUCAUCCUUUCAAGAUCAAGGAUUUGUGCUCUUUAAUUGAGGCUGAUUAUGGAGCUCUGACCAAUGUCACUUGUGAGAUUCAAUGGCUCCAAUUCAGUUAUUUUGCACAUAAUCCAACCUUCAAUAAGUUCACCAAGUACUGAGAAACAGUCCACCAUAUCAACUGCAAAAUUAUUCAGAAUGAUCUUAUACACCUAACUAAUGUCAGUAAGUAUCAUCAUCUUCUGAACUAGUUGAUGUGCUAAAUAAACUUCUUCAUUUCAACCCCUCAUCUCCAAGGUUGGUCUAUGUGAUACACAUAACAACUUGUGUAUCUAUAUAUAUCAUCAUAUAAUCAUUAAUCAAAUUUAAGUUAUUAGUUAAAAUCAUUUAGUGUGCUGUUAGUUACAAAUAGUAUGUGUCAUUUAUGUUAUUGUAUUGCAGUAGCUACUUAACUUGUAAUCUUCUGUAUAUAAACAUGCUAAGAUGCAUGUUUCAUUACCUUGAAUAAAGAAUUCCUUUAUUUUCAAGCAUCUUUGUGAAAAUAUACCACUAAUAAAGACUAAUUUUAUAAAAUAACUCAUAAUUUUUAUUUUCCAUGCAAAAUUAAUGAGCAAUAUAAUUUGAUUAAUGGUUUUGUCUAUAAUACUGCAAAGUCGCAAUAUUUGUAGGACAAAUUGGCAAAUUGACCCAUUCCACUAGAGAUUGUCCGAUGCCUUUUUUAAGAAGAAACCAGACAAGCAAAUUGGCACAAAGUGACAAUUUAUUGGUCUGCUCAACAUGUUGAUUUCACGCUAAUGUGGGGCUCUUCUAGGUGAAAACACGUGACUCUUGAAAAUGUUUUGUCCAUUUGUUAAUAAAAGUGGUCAUAUCCUUGCUUUAUUGUAUAAGUUAUUUCCAAUUUUUUAGAUUUAUUUAAAGGGAAAAAAAAUUAAAAUCAUAGUGCAUAAAAUCAUACAAGAUCUAACAUCACAACUACGUUGACACCCAACAACCUCUUCUAUCAUUUGCAACACUCUAGCAAUUAUUAUUAAAUAAUAAAGACAAAAAAAAUUAGAAGACUAGGUCAAAACUCAAGGAUACAAUUCAAAGAACCGAUAUCAUUUGUCUCGUUAAAAUAUUGUCAUUAAAAUCCCAGGAAUAAAACUCACUUAAGGAAAAAAGAGAGCAUAAUGAAAUAACAAGUAAAAAGAAAGCCGAUGCCGAAGUCCACUAAGAAAACAAUAUCAAAAAAUGUAUUAGCAAAAAAAAAAAGGGAAGAUCAUUCUUGUUGCGAGUCAAGUCACCAACGAUGAAAGUUGGAAUGAAGUCUCACUAUACCACAAUAGUGAUUUGGAAACCAUGAUUCGCUAAUUUGUCUGCAUAACUAUUACCUUCUCUAAAGAUACGAGAGACUUGAAAGUGAAAUCCUCGAAUGAUAUUUAGACAAUUAGACCAAUGGUUUUGUAAUAGAACCAAAAAAGGAUUGAUAAAAGCUUGAAUAGGAGUGACAUUAAAGCCAAAAAUUCGUCCAAUAUUUGCUAGAAGCAAAUUAUAUAGCACGCAUAUCACAUUUCAUUUCAGCUUGGAAAACAUUGGCAAUUCCCAAUGACUCAAAGAAAAUUUGCAUUGCGAGCUCGAAAGUUCCUCCACAAAUUGAGAUCUUAGGACAACCUUUAGAUGCUUUAUCAACGUUACAUUUCAUGCAUUGCAAGAGGGACAUGACCAAUUGACUUAAAUUAUUUUGGAAGCCGAAGGAGGAUGACAUUUGACAUCAAAAGCCUUGAGAAUCUAUUGAUAGAGCUCAAAUUUGGUUGCACCUGUAGAACAUCAGUAAACAACUUGAAAUCAUACUCAAACCUCUCUUUCUCAACUUAUCAUUAGUAGCAACUACAUUAUGAAAUAUUCUACACAAAAGCAAUGCAAUGACUUGGCAAAAGGGAUGCGAUGAGACCAAAUGGAUUUGCCUCAAGAAACCCUAUUAAAGGAGGUUGAUAUGCUAGUGUAUGCAUCUUUAACAUCAAGCUUUCCAUAUUUGAAAUGAUCCUAAACUCUAGUGUCAAGAAUUGAACGAAUUGGUAUGGUCAUGUUCUUGAUGUCAUCACACAUGUGAGAAACUUUUGGCUGCAUAAUAAUAGCAAAAUAUCAUUUUCCAUCUCUCUCUGAUACAACUUGCCACAUUUUCCAUCUUGUUUGGGUAAAAAACAAUUCAAGUACAAUACUAGUCUUUCAUACACACACAUUCUUGUAUUAAGUAUCUCAAUUAGAAUGCAUUCAUUUUUUUUUAAGAAAGUGAUUAAUUAUCUCGAUUUUCAAUGCAAAAUAACACGGACUAAAAUAUCAUUGCACUUCAUUUACUAUUUUAAACCAGGCCCGUCCUUGAGGGGGUGCAAACAGCUCAACAGAGCUGGGCCUCCCUCACUCAUGGGCCACAAUUUUUUUUUAAUACCCACUAGUACUACUGCUCUUCAAAAAAAAUUUAAUACCCCCAGCCAUUUUCUGUCCCCUUGUUUUAGCCUUUUAGGCCUAUUAGAAUUAGGUCAUCUUGCUUUUGGUGUUAGGUGGGGGUUCCUCAUGUAUAAGGUAGUCAUUUUCACCUUUGGGUGUACCGCAUAUAUACGGCACCUUAUAUUUAUCUUUUAAAAAAUAUAAAUAGAUCAUUGUUUUUUUUAAAAAAAUACGUUUUGAUUUUAUCACUGGCCUCUUUUCAUUCUCAGAGCCGAGCCUCCGAAUUCUUAAGGACAGCCCUGUUUUAAACUAUAUACUAGCAAUUGCAUUAAUAAAUAAGGAUAGCGUUUAAAAAA